AUUGAACGCUGGCGGCAGGCUUAACACAUGCAAGUCGAGCGGUAACAGAGAGAAGCUUGCUUCUCUGCUGACGAGCGGCGGACGGGUGAGUAGUGCCUAGGAAUCUGCCUAGUAGUGGGGGAUAACUUGCCGAAAGGUAAGCUAAUACCGCAUACGUCCUAUGGGAGAAAGGAGGGGACCUUCGGGCCUUUCGCUAUUAGAUGAGCCUAGGUCGGAUUAGUUAGUUGGUGAGGUAAUGGCUCACCAAGACCGCGAUCCGUAACUGGUCUGAGAGGAUGAUCAGUCACACUGGAACUGAGACACGGUCCAGACUCCUACGGGAGGCAGCAGUGGGGAAUAUUGGACAAUGGGGGGAACCCUGAUCCAGCCAUGCCGCGUGUGUGAAGAAGGUCUUAGGAUUGUAAAGCACUUUAAGUUGGGAGGAAGAGCAGUUAACUAAUAUUUGACUGUUUUGACGUUACCGACAGAAUAAGCACCGGCUAACUUCGUGCCAGCCGCCGCAGUAA
rnacentral:rRNA from 1 species